GAUAAAUUUUUUAUGGUUUGAAAAAUUUAUUUUAAAUUUAUUUUACAUAUAAAUUUUAGUGUUAAAUUUUAAUUAUUUUAAUAAUAAUUAAUUACUUGAUUAUAGUAAUUAAAAUUAAAAAUUUAAGAAAUUAAGAUUUAGUAAUAUAAAAAUUAAUAACUAAUUUUGUGCCAGCAGUUGCGGUUAAACAAAAGUUAAAUUAAAUUAUUUCAGUAUAUAAUUAAUAACAAAUUAAAUUAAAAUAAAUAUUAAAUUAUUAAGUGAAAUUUUAAUUUAAUUAAAAUUUAUUUGGAAAUUAUGAUUUAAUAAAUUUUAAUAUAAACUAGGAUUAGAUACCCUAUUAUUAAAAAUUUAAUUUAAAAUACUAAAAUAGUAAAUAAUAUAUUAUUAAAACUUAAAUAAUAUGGCGGUAUUUUAGUUCAUUUAGAGGAAUCUGUCUAAUAAUUGAUAAUCCACGAAUAAAUUUACUUAAUUUAUUAUUUUGUAUAUCAUUGUUAAAAAAAUAUUUUUUAAUAAAAAUAAUAUUUAAAAAUUUUUAAUAUAAAUUAAUUCAGAUCAAGAUGCAGAUUAUAAUUAAGUUUAAGAUGGAUUACAAUAAAUUUAUUUAAACGAAAAGAAUAUUGAAAAAUUUGAUUGAAGGUGGAUUUAAAUGUAAUUUUAAUUAAUUUAUUAAAAUGAUUUAAUAUUAAAAUAUGUACAUAUUGCCCGUCACUUUCAUUUGAAAAUUGAAAUAAGUCGUAACAAAGUAGAAGUACUGGAAAGUGUUUCUAGAAUGAA
rnacentral:ncRNA from 1 species